rfam:Abiotrophia defectiva ATCC 49176 genomic scaffold Scfld0, whole genome shotgun sequence.
GGGGAUGUCACGGUUUCGACAGGUAUUGUUCGAGCUUUUGAUGCGUCAGGAGGGUUGCGUCCGCCUUAAAACGCUACAGUUAAAUAUAACUGCAAACAACCAAAACAACUCUUUCGCUUUAGCAGCUUAAUAACCUGCAGCGGAAAAUCAGCCUAACAUCGCCCAUGUGCUAGUAGCUGGUUUUAUUUAAGUGGGAUACGCGUGAUUUAUCCGUCUGUUAAAUCACGAAGAGAUAAUCAGACUCGCAAGGAUGACAGCCCGUCUAGUGGCGGUCUCUGCGCUAAAUCAAAUAGCUAGACUAUUGACGUAGACUCGAUUGUGGCGAGAUACUUGGACAGGGGUUCGAUUCCCCUCAUCUCCAUAA